rnacentral:lncRNA from 1 species
UCGGCUAAUACCCAAGCACAUUUUUGAAGUUAUGAUCAAUUUAGUAACUCCGAUCCUUUUUAAUUUUUUUGUGCUUGUUUUUGACUUAUUUUUUUAGAAGUGUGCAAAAUCUGAGUAAAGAUCAACGGUUUAUUCAUUAGUUAUUGAGGUUUAAAUCUGUUAUAGGAAUUACUAGGAUUUGGUUUAGGAUUUAGGAUUUAGAUUAGGGUUUGAUUUAGGGUUUAGGGUUUGAUUUAGGAUUUGGUUAGGAUUUGGUUUAGGAUUUGAUUAGGAUUUGAUUAGAGUUUGAUUAGGGUUUGAUUUAGGAUUUAAGAUUUGGUUAAGAUUUGGUUUAAGAUUUAGGGUUUGGAUUAGGAUUUGAUUAGGGUUUGAUUUAGGAUUUAGGGUUUGGAUUAGAAUUUGGUUAGAGUUUAAUUUAGGGUUUAAGAUUUGGAUUAGUAUUUGAUUAAUAUUUGAUUAAGUUUUGAUUAGGAUUUGAUUUAGGAUUUAGGAUUUGGUUUAGGGUUUGGUUAGGAUUUGGUUUAAGAUUUGGUUAGGGUUUGAUUUAAGGUUUGUUUGGGGUUUGAUUCAGGGUUUAGGAUUUUAUUAGGAUUUAAGAUUCAAUUAAUUUUGGCCUAAAGUUUGAAUGAAGUUCAAUAGGAUUUUAACUAGGAUUAAAUUAAGAUUGAAUUGAGAUUUAUUUGAGUGAUAUUUAUGAUCCUUCUAAUAUUUCUUUAAGAACUAAGUCAUACUCAU